GGGGGCAUAGCUCAUUGGUAGAGCACAUGCUUGGUGUGCAUGUGGUCCUGGGUUCAAUCUCCAGUGCCCCUG
rfam:Camelus ferus unplaced genomic scaffold scaffold985, whole genome shotgun sequence.